AAAUGUUUUUGGAGAAUAAAAAAAAAAAAUCUCUUCUCAUCAGUUUAAUAUCUGAUACGUCCCCCAUCGGGGAACCACAUAUUAAACGGAUUUUUGGAACAGGGAGCUGGAUCAGGAGCUUGCUCCGUCCUCUCCACACAUCGGCCGGGUAUUGCAGCGCCUCCGGGAACAGUGCACUACCU
ensembl:snRNA U2 U2 spliceosomal RNA